GAGCAUCGUAGCUACGACGGUCGGA
rnacentral:sRNA from 1 species